AUACGUAGGGGGCGAGCGUUGUCCAGAAUGAUUGGGCGUAAAGGGCGCGUAGGCGGCCUGUUAAGUCUGGAGUGAAAGUCCUGUUUUCAAGAUGGGAAUUGCUUUGGAUACUGAUGGGCUUGAGUGCAGGAGAGGUUAUCGGAAUUCCCGGUGUAGCGGUGAAAUGCGUAGAGAUCGGGAGGAACACCAGUGGCGAAGGCGGGUAACUGGACUGCAACUGACGCUGAGGCGCGAAAGUGUGGGGAGCAAACAGGAUUAGAUACCCUGGUAGUCCACACUGUAAACGAUGAAUGCUAGGUGUAAGAGGUAUCGACCCCUUUUGUGCCGGAGUUAACACAAUAAGCAUUCCGCCUGGGGAGUACGGCCGCAAGGUUGAAACUCAAAUGAAUUGGCGGGG
rnacentral:rRNA from 1 species